CAUUACAAACAAGCAUGAAAACCAUCCAGAUGAGUUGUUUCCUAAAUGUGCUCAUGGAGAGCUAGAUGAACGUCUAUGGCUUCAAGUUGGAACUAAAUCAUAUCAGCGACUUUCCUCCAUUCUGUUGAAAAAAUCUGUUCUCAAAGAUGUUAAAAAACUAUCUUCAGAAGCACAAACUAGUUGUCUCGAAGGUUUUCAUUCAACAUUAAAUGGUUGGCAUCCAAAGAUGACCCACUUUUCUUGGCUUGGUACAUAUUGCAGGUAACUUGUAAUCACUGUUCUCUAUCUGCCAAGCCUUUUUUACUUGUUCCUAGUCAAGAAAAAAAAUUACAUAGUAAAUGGUUUGUUCUGUUUAGGCACGUACUGGCAGUACUUCAUUUCAAUGAAAACCUUCACAGACAGCCAAAAAAAACAAAAAAUGGAACACCAUAUUAUUCUGUGACAUACCCAAAAUUUAAAUCAGGGGAUGAAGUAGUAAGAACUGUUUCUUCAGCACCAUCAUAUUACUAUGUUAAUGAAAUCAAAAAUGUCAUGGUUCUUAGUUGUGAGGAAUCCAUGGACAACAUAUUUAAGAAGUAUAAGGAAAAAGUCCCAGAAGCCUUAAACAAAACUUUCUCGGAUCGAAUUUCCAAAACUGAGGCAAUCCAACGGCAUUUGGAUAGGAAACAACUAUCUUCAACACCAUUGUUUCCCACAUAUCAACAGCAAGAUGUACUGCAAGCAAAAGGUUUAGACAAAGAAAAACAAGCUGCUUCAACAGGUCCUUCAGAUCCAAAAAAAAUGCACUUAUGCAAAAAUUGUGGACAGCCAAUGAAAGGACAUCCAAAAGGUCAUUGUCCACAAGAAUUACUUGACAAAUAUUCUUAGCAGGCCAACUUUAAAGUUAGUUAUAAAAUAAUAUACUAUGCUACAAAAAAUGUUCUUAUUUGAUUAAUUAUUUUGACUUCACACAACAAAAUUGUGAAGCAUCACAGCACAAUAAUGAACCACAUAAAGGUAAAAGUAGAGAUACAUGGCAAGAUAUUAAUCAUUCGUUACAAAACAAAAUUAGAAAUCAAAAAUGUACUAACUCAUUUUCAUGUAUUCUUGGUCAUACGCUUGUAUGACCUUCCAUCUUGGUCUCUUAGAAGUGAGCCAACAUUCUUCCAACAUUCUUCAAGACUGUAGCAUGUGUCAUAAUCGUGUACUCUUCGUGAAGAG